UACAGAGGUCUCAAGCGUUGUUCGGAUUCAUUGGGCGUAAAGGGUGCGUAGGUGGCGCUGUAAGUCGGGUGUGAAAUUUCGGAGCUUAACUCCGAAACUGCAUUCGAUACUGCGGUGCUUGAGGACUGGAGAGGAGACUGGAAUUUAUGGUGUAGCAGUGAAAUGCGUAGAGGUCAUAAGGAAGACCAGUGGCGAAGGCGGGUCUCUGGACAGUUCCUGACACUGAGGCACGAAGGCCAGGGGAGCAAACGGG
rnacentral:rRNA from 1 species